UACAGAGGGGGCAAGCGUUAUUCGGAAUUACUGGGCGUAAAGAGCGUGUAGGCGGCCAAACAGGUCCGUUGUGAAAACUGGAGGCUUAACCUCCAGACGUCGACGGAAACCGUAUGGCUAGAGUCCGGAAGAGGAGAGUGGAAUUCCUGGUGUAGCGGUGAAAUGCGCAGAUAUCAGGAAGAACACCAAUGGCGAAGGCAGCUCUCUGGGACGGUACUGACGCUGAGACGCGAAAGCGUGGGGAGCGAACAGG
rnacentral:rRNA from 1 species